rnacentral:ncRNA from 2 species
UUCCGUAGGUGAACCUGCGGA